rnacentral:rRNA from 1 species
AUACGGAGGGUGCAAGCGUUAUCCGGAAUUAUUGGGUUUAAAGGGUCCGGAGGCGGCUAGAUAAGUCAGUGGUGAAAUUCUCUCGCUCAACGAGAGACCUGCCAUUGAUACUGUCUUGGCUAGAGUUACAGUGAGGUGAGUGGAAUGUGUAGUGUAGCGGUGAAAUGCAUAGAUAUUACACAGAACACCGAUUGCGAAGGCAGCUCACUAACUGUAUACUGACGCUGAUGGACGAAAGCGUGGGGAGCAAACAGGAUUAGAUACCCUAGUAGUCC